rnacentral:lncRNA from 1 species
CGUGGGCAGAGCGCCGAGGAGAGGCCUGCUCCAGGUUUGGGGCGUGACUGUUGGCACUUUUGUUUUUGCGAUCCUGCGUUGGUCUCCCUCCAAUAAAAGCGAUGGCUGGGGAACAGGCACUCAAGGAUGUCGUGCUCCGGUCACCGCCGUCUCAGUCUUCCCCGAGGAGACCUCAAACUCUCAGAAAGAGCUGCCGCUGGGAGACCCUGAGGCACCGAAGGCGCGGCUACCUGUUUUCCUUCAACCCCGUGUGCGCACGUUCGGCGACCCACACCCCAGUUUCCAGAUACAGCGCCCCCAGCCUGGCUCCGUGCAAGGUGCCACCCGCUUUCCGGGUGUCUGGCGGGGGGCGGGGUUUGGCUGGGCAGGACCAGGAUGUGAGAUCCUGGAGGAAAGAAAAGGUGUAGUGUUUGGGGCGGUCAGCAGGUAAUACCCGGUUUCUGAACGUAAGACAUAGGCCAGAGGCGAAGUCUCCCUGCGGCCAGUGUGGGGGCUGCAGCAGGUAAGGAAGGGGGUUAUGGAAGAGGGUGCAGAGAAGCCCAGAAGAUGUGGGGGUAGGGACAGGAGCAUCUCCCUUCUGUAACUUUCCUGCACACCUUCCUACAGAAGCAUGGAGCUAGGAUCCCCUGACCUGCUAGACGUGUUGCUGGAGCCCCCAGAAGAUAUCUUCUCAACAGGAUCCUUACUGGAACUGGGAUUCAACUGUUCCCCUCCAGAGGUUCCAGUGACUAGGCUACAAGAACAGGCGCUACAUGGCUGGGAUUCUAGUGGGGGCCAUGGCUGUGUAAGUGUGAUGAAUAGGAAUGGAAGGAAGUGGGCUUGAGACACAACUCUGGGCUAAGAAGACCCAAGAGGCUUCAGCACCCACUUGAAAAGAGACCUGAAAACAGUGAACCCAAAAUAGAUAUUAGUUGUAACUAUCCCCAUCCCCAAGAAAAGCCUGAAACUGAAGUAAGAAGGAUCUAAAUCUGAUGUAGGAUAUACAAGUAUGCCAGUUAGGACUUCCUGGCAUACCUGUAUACCCUUCUCCGACUACAGGGACUUCAAGAGAGUGAAUCUGAAGAUUUCCUGAAGCUUUUCAUUGAUCCCAAUGAGGUGUAUUGUUCAGAAGCAUCUCCUGGCAGUGACAGUGGCAACUCUGAGGAUCCUGGCCUCUCAGACAGUCCCCCUGCCCUGCAGGCACCCAGCUCUCCUGCCCUCUAUGAGGUUGUCUAUGAGGCAGAGGCCCUGCAGAGGAUGCAGGGGGAAGCCAGGCCAACCUUAGGACUCAUCUCCAUUCAGCUAGGUCAGUUUCUUUGUGGGAAGAGGUCCAGCCCUAGCCAUGAGGUUAAGGGGAUUUCCCCAGCCAAUGCCACUACCCAGCCCCUGGUGCCUCAGGGUGAACCUCUCUUUUGUCCCAGCUUCUUGUGUCUCCUUCAGAUCAGUGGAGCCCACAAUUCAUGGUGCCAGAUGCCUGCAUGGUCAGUGAACUGACCUUUGAUGCUCAUGCACACAUCCUGCCCAGAAGCACUGCAGCCCCAGUGCCUCCUUCCACACUUGUAAGUCUUGGGGUCCGUCAGACCAGUGCUCUGUGAUACAUACAUGUAUCCUCACAGACAGUGGCACAGGGGAUGAGGGAGGGGGAAGCUGAUGAGGAACUGUGUCUUUGCCGCACUUUUCAUGGCACUGAGCCUGAAGACCAAGGCAAUGAAAGCAACUUUAGGAGCAGGAAAGGACAAGGGGGUGAGAGAGAGAGCCGGUGUGGAUAAGGUGGUGAUGACUCAGUUAAGUUGGGAUGAGGGACAAGGCUCUGGAGAAAGCCCACACCUUGUGUGCAUUGCAUGCUUAGCCAGAGCCAUUGUUUCAGCCUUGGGUCAGGACAGAAUUGGGACAGUAGCCUGGGAAUCCAACUGGUUGGUGGAUACAGAGUGAUGGAGAAGAAACUGCAAUAGUGUUUCCACUGUAGCAAAUACCCAGGGGCCAGCUCUUCAGGAACCCUAUCAGAAGCCUUCUGAGGGGGCUGGAGAUUGUGCAGUGAGGUUGGAAAGGUGGCUACAUUCAGGUCACUGUGUCUUCCUUUAUCCUGGGAAUACUUCCCAAGCCCAAAGCAAGGAACAGGUUCUAGCUUCCAUCUAAACUUGUGGGUGAAGCUUGAACCAGAAGCCAAGUCAAGCCAGGUACAGUGUCCCACAACUGUAAUCCCAGCUCCAUGGGAGGCCAAGGCAGGAGGAUUGAAAGUUUGAGGCCAGCCUGGGCAACUUAGUGAGCCCUUGUCCCAAAGUAAAAAGUACCCCUGGGUGCUGUCCCCAGUACUGCAAAAAGAAAAAAAGUGGUUGGCUUAGCUAAAAGCUAAAACAAAUUCUUAAGUCACAAAGUCAAGCAUAAAUCUUUCAAAAAAGAAUGCAGCUUACUCCGUUGAUGGGUCCAGCUUAACCGAAGUCACCAUCUGUCCACUGUCUACUCUGCAUGCUUUACUGUGGGAAGUCACUCAGUGUGACUGCCUACAGGAGUUCCUUGUCUAAGAGGGGGCAGAACCUGAAAGUGGAGUUCAGACCUUGUGGUUCUGUGGUUGACGGGCACUGGAUAACAUACUCUGCCAAAUGGAAGUUAAUGGCUGGAUCUGGAUUGUUAACCUGCUGUUACGAUUUUUUCUUUCUGCUGUAAGGAAAUUGAGCAAACCCCACUGUAGUGAGUACUCCAUGUCCUCUUUUUUUUUUAAGAGAGUGAGAGUGUGAGAGAAGAGAGAGAAUUUUUUAAUAUUUAUUUUUAGUUUUCGGCGGACACAACAUCUUCGUUGGUAUGUGGUGCUGAGGCUCGAACCCGGGCCGCACGCAUGCCAGGCGAGCGCGCUACCGCUUGAGCCACAUCCCCAGCCCUCCAUGUCCUCUUAAGAUGCUCCCAAGUUGUGGGAGACAGGGAUCGGAGCAGGCACUCCCUAGCUUGAUCAGAAUGUCCAGGUCCCAAGUCUCUGAACAGAAGAUAUGAUGAAACCACACCUUCUCCCCUAUCGGCCUCAGGAGAUCCCUUGGCUCUAUCUAGGGCCUGUCUCAAGGCUCUUUUUUUUUUUUUGUACCAGGGAUUAAACCCAGGGUCGUUAACCACUGAAGGAGCUCUUCUUAUUUUUUACUUACAGACAGGGCCUCCCUAAAUUGCUGAGGCUGGCUUUGAACUUGUGACCCUCCUGCCUCAGCCUCCUGAGCUGCUGGGAUUACAGGCAUGUGCCACUGUGCCUGGCCCUCAGCUCACCUCUAGGUUGGAGUUACUCCUUAGUGCAAAUAUUAAGCACUCUCCAGAAUGCAUGGUGGGGUGCUGCUGUGUGCUGAAAAUGUGAUGACCCUGUCCCCGUUCCCAUCUUAUCUUCAAUAUCCCCCAGCUGCCCUGUCAAACUCUGUUCCUGACAGAUGAGGAGAAGCGUCUGCUGGGGCAGGAAGGGGUUUCUCUGCCCUCUCACCUGCCCCUCACCAAGGUAACACCCUUCCCUUUCCCAAAGGGCGUCUCAGUCCAGAGGAUCCAUUAUGGCCUCUGAGAAGCCAGGAUCCCAGGGAAAAGUUGGGCAGUUGAGGGAGGUUAAGGGCCCAGAAUUGACACACCCCCGGCUACCAGGCAGAGGAGAGAAUCCUCAAGAAGGUCAGGAGGAAAAUCCGUAACAAGCAGUCAGCUCAGGACAGUCGGCGACGGAAGAAAGAAUACAUCGAUGGGCUGGAGAACAGGUACUUUGGGAUCACAUUUCUGAAGGAGGCUAUGUCUGGUUCCCUUCCUCACCAAGGUAGGCAAGGUGAAGGACUCAGAUUGCUGAGCCUUGUCCUGCUUCUCCCCACUCCCUAGGGUGGCAGCCUGUUCUGCACAGAACCAGGAGCUACAGAAGAAAGUCCAGGAGCUGGAGAGACACAACCUGUGAGUGAAAACACCAUGUGUGUGCUGGGGGUGGGGAAGUGCUGAGCACCAUUCUUGGGCCAUGGUUCCCAGAUGAUGGUAGCUCCUUAUUCCUCCUUUCCCAGCUCCUUGGUGGCUCAGCUCCGUCAGCUCCAGACGCUCAUUGCUCAAACCUCAAACAAAGCUGCCCAGACAAGCACUUGCGUUCUGGUACCAUCAGUCUGUCUCCCUCCCAUCUCCCCCAGCCUCCAUCAUCUGUCUCCCCCCACACUUCCAUCCUGAUACCCCCCAUUCCCUAGCUACAUCAGUCUUCCCAACCCAGAAAACCCCAGCUGCCCUCUGCUCCCUUCCUUGACUGUCCCCACAGCCCAAGUGUCUUGCUUUCUUCCAGAUCCUUCUUUUUUCUUUGGUUCUCAUCAUCCUGCCCAGCUUCAGUCCCUUUCAGGGUCUACCAGAAGCGGGGCCUGAGGACUACCAGCCUCGUGGAGGUGAGAAGCUCCCUGGUGAGCAAGGGGGUUUUGCGCACAGUAGUCAAGAAGUGGGAGAGAAGUCCUGCCUGUUCUGUCUAGGGUGCUCCACCCAAGAGAAACAUUCUACUCUUUGCUUUUUCCUUCACCUCACAGUGAUUUCCAGAAAUAUCUUGACCCAUGUGGAUAUGACAGAAAGUCGAGAGACUCCAGUGGAAGAGUCCACAAUGGGAGAGUCACUUAGAGCCCAGAUUGCAAACACGUCGACCAGAACACUGAUAGAGAAGAGGGUUGUGGAGACUGGGUCUGGUGGGCAUGUCAGAACCGUGCUGCAUGCAGAUGAGAUGUGAGCUGGAAGGUUCCUGGCCCACUCCCCUUUACCAUAAGGAACCCAGGGUUCCCCUAUAGCUCUGCUUCCCCCUGGUCUUCCCACUCAGGUGUCUUUGCUCUUGGGGGUCUGAAUCACCUCAGGACAACAUAGGAGAUAUCUGUAUCCUGAGGCCCAGUUAGCCUGUGUAAAAAGAGUACCUCAAAUACUUUUGUUAUGUAUCUGUGAUUUUAUUUCUUCUUUGGGGAUAGGGUUGAGGGAAACAAAAGUUUUGACUAAGAAAUAAAUUUUCUAGUUAAAAUUAUAU